UCCAGGUGGGGAACCCAGCCGGCAGAGACACAAGAGACAACAAGAGACAACGAGAGGCGGGAGGAGAGAUGAGCCCCUGAUCCUGCCCAAGAAGAAAAUGGACGGCCUGAGGUCCAACCCGCCUUCCGCUCGCUUCUCUAAACCGGAACGACAGAGCGCUCCGCCGGGGCCUCCGGGGGAGGCGUCCGGGCCGUCGCCCCCGCGCCCCCCCGGCCCGGUCCCGGCCCCGCUGCCGCCCCC